GAGUUUGAGUCCUGGCUCGAGAGCGAACGCUGGCGGCAGGCUCAACACAUGCAAGUCGAACGGGCACUUCGGUGUCAGUGGCAGACGGGUGAGUAACACGUGGGAACGUACCUUUGGUUCGGAACAACUGAGGGAAACUUCAGCUAAUACCGGAUAAGCCCUUACGGGGAAAGAGUUUAUCGCCGAAAGAUCGGCCCGCGUCUGAUUAGCUAGUUGGUAGGGUAACGGCCUACCAAGGCGACGAUCAGUAGCUGGUCUGAGAGGAUGAUCAGCCACAUUGGGACUGAGACACGGCCCAAACUCCUACGGGAGGCAGCAGUGGGGAAUAUUGGACAAUGGGGGCAAACCCUGAUCCAGCCAUGCCGCGUGAGUGAUGAAGGCCCUAGGGUUUGUAAAGCUCUUUUGUGCGGGAAGAUAAUGACGGUACCGCAAGAAUAAGCCCCGGCUAACUUCGUG
rnacentral:rRNA from 1 species